AUUGAACGCUGGCGGAAUGCUUUACACAUGCAAGUCGAGCGGCAGCGCGGGGCAACCUGGCGGCGAGCGGCGAACGGGUGAGUAAUGCAUCGGAACAUGUCCAUGUCGUGGGGGAUAGCCCGGCGAAAGCCGGAUUAAUACCGCAUACGCCCGAGAGGGGAAAGUGGGGGACCGCAAGGCCUCACGCGAUUGGGUUGGCCGAUGUCCGAUUAGCUAGUUGGCGGGGUAAGAGCCCACCAAGGCGAUGAUCGGUAGCUGGUCUGAGAGGAUGAUCAGCCACACUGGGACUGAGACACGGCCCAGACUCCUACGGGAGGCAGCAGUGGGGAAUUUUGGACGAUGGGGGCAACCCUGAUCCAGCCAUUCCGCGUGAGUGAAGAAGGCCUUCGGGUUGUAAAGCUCUUUUGUCCGGAACGAAACGGAUACGUCUAAUACGCGUGUCUACUGACGGUACCGGAAGAAUAAGCACCGGCUAACUACGUGCCAGCCGCCGCAGUAAGAC
rnacentral:rRNA from 1 species